AUUUGCGGUGGAGCAUGUGGUUUAAUUCGAUGCAACGCGAAGAACCUUACCUACUCUUGACAUCCAGAGAACUUUCCAGAGAUGGAUUGGUGCCUUCGGGAACUCUGAGACAGGAUGCUGCAUGGCUGUCGUCAGCUCGUGUUGUGAAAUGUUGGGUUAAGUCCCGCAACGAGCGCAACCCUUAUCCAAGUUUGCCAGCGAGUAAUGUCGGGAACUCCAGGGAGACUGCCGGUGAUAAACCGGAGGAAGGUGGGGACGACGUCAAGUCAUGCAUGGCCCUUACGAGUAGGGCUACACACGUGCUACAAUGGCGCAUACAGAGGGCAGCCAACUUGCGAGAGUGAGCGAAUCCCAAAUCGUGCGUCGUAGUCCGGAUCGGAGUCUGCAACUCGACUCCGUGACUGAGGAAUCGCUAGUAAUCG
rnacentral:rRNA from 1 species